AUGAGAAUAUAUUGAUUAAGAUAGGGCUCUGGAAUAAAAAUCCUUCUAACCCUGUCAUAAACUUUCAUAAAUAUGUUGGUUGAAACUACUUAGCAUUUCUAUAUCUACAGUUCUCAGGACAAUUUCCAAAUUGUUCAUCAGGAAUGAUGGACAGCAUGCCUGGCCCAGGUAAGGAGCAGAUAUUCAACUCAUAUUGCAAAGAAAUAUGCUUCUUAAUCCUAUCAUGGGAAUGAAUGGAAUACUAAUCCUACCCCCCACCCCAUAUUCCUAUCACCUUUCUGGUAUCUGAAGAGUGAAUGCAAAUACUUGGCUUGCAUUCCACCAGUACUCAGUCAAAGCCUGUCUGACAUCACUAACUGAUUAUUGUACUCUUGGCUCUGUGGCCCAGAUGUGGUGUCAAAAUCCUUGUCAGCAUAGAUCUCUAAGAAGCGACUCUUAAUGGUUCAGAAUUGCCUCUUGAGAUGAGAUUUAUUUCAUCAUUGUCAUACUGGCUUUCUAGUUCCUUAUAGACUACUCCUUGACCCCCUUUAUACAAGAAAAGCUCAUCUCUAUAUUAUAUUUUUGGAUCCUUCCUUGAUCUCUUGAUAAUAAGAAGUAGAUUCCUGUUUCUCUCUCUAUAAUAGUGAGUAGCAUCUAGGCUAUCUAUCUAUGCUUUGAACACCAUCCUAUUUCUCAGUUCAGAUUACUAGUACCAGAAAAAGUGGCACAUGUAAAAUGGAAAAGCAGAGAAAGGUUAGCAUUAAAAGCCAAAACAGAUUUCUUGAUUUAAUUUCUAUAUUCCCUGACAGCUAUAAUUAUUGUAAUUACAAUUAUUAUAACUACCUGUAGAUCUCACUUCAGCAAAAUGUUUCUAUUGUCCACCAUAUGCCUCAGUUCUUCAAGGCUCUGCUCUCAUUUCUCUUCUCUGAGAAACAAAAAUCAAACAAACAAAAAUUACUCAUGUUUUAUGAGGCAAGGGGACAGGGAUUGGGAACUAGAUGCAUGAAGAGUAGUGAUGACCUCAGCCUAAUUUAUAUUUAUCCAUCCAUUAAUUUAUUCCAUAACUACUUAGCAUCUGUGAUAUGCCAGCAGUGGAGAGCCUAAUGAAAAGGAAGCAGUGAGCCAAACAGACUUAAAGAGCUUAUGGUCUAAAAUCGAAGGGAGAAAUUAAUCAAUGCACAAAUAUGUAAAUACAAUCUGUGAUACAUCCUAUGAAAGAACAGUAGAGAGACUGAGGAAACAGAGCAGAGAACUGAUCUAGUCUGGCAGAACAGGCUUUUCUGACGAGGAAAGGUUUAAGCUAAACUUGAAAGGCUGAGUAGAAUGUAAUCAGGUGGAAGGUUGAUGUGGGAGAAAUAAGGAGAAUCUCCCAGGUAAAGAGCAUAGCAGGUGCCAAGUCCUCUAAACAAGAAGGUAUGUCUUUGAAGGAUGUCUUUGAAGAAUUAAGUGUGAAGGGAGAGCAGAGUAAAAGGGAGACGUGAGUAAGUGGUGGAAGAUACUGCUAAAGAGCUAGGCAGGGCCUAGGCAGACCAUAUGAUGCUUGUUGACCAUGCCCAUAAAUGCAGAUAAACUGUUUUAAACAAGAGUUAUCACAUGGUGUCCUUUGCUUGUACGAGAUCAUUUCAGUUUUAGAUAAUAAAUUGGUAACAGAUAAGAGUAGAUAUCAAUAUUCAAGAGGUCAUUGCACUUGUCCAGGUAUGACAUGAUAGUUUGGACAAAAGUGAAGAUGGAGAUGAAGAUAGGUGGACAGACGUAAAAUGUAUUUAGAAGAAAAAUCAACUGUGUUAUAAGAUGAUGGAAGGCCAGAUGUGGUGGUUUAUGCUUAUAAUACAGCAAUUUGGAAGGCCAAAGUGGAAGGAUUGUUUGAAGCCAGGAAUUUGAGAUCAGCCUGGGAAAGACAGUGAGACCCUGUCUCUACCAAAAAAUAUUAGCUGGGCAUGGCGGCUUGCAUCUGUUGUCCCAGCUACUUAGGGGGCUGAGGUGGGAGGAUCACUUGAGCCCAGGAGGUCAAGGCUGCAAAGAAUUAUGGUUGCACCACUGCACUCCAGUUUGGGCCUGGAACAAGACCUUGUCUCUAAAAAUAAAUAAAUCCAUACAUAAAUACAUAAAUAAAAUAAAAAAAUAAGGUAGUGGGAAUAGAGGGGCUAACUUGGGAUGUAGAGGUCAAUGAUGAUUUUAAAAUACUAGUUUGUCCACCCAGGAUUGAGUUUUCUGCUGUUCACUGAGUCAGGAGACAAGGAAAGAUGAGGUUUUGAGGAUUUUGACCAUGUAUUUGGUGUAAUUGAUUUGCUGGUGAAUUUCCAAAAUAGAGUUGGCAAAUAGUUGGAUAUACUGAUAUCAAUCACUUUGAGGUGGGAAUAUAUAUAUGUGUGUAUGUGUAUGUAUGUGUGCAUAUAUAUAUGUGUGUGUAUAUAUAUAUAUGAGAGUCAUUGACAUAUAUCCACUCAUUUUGUAAUUAUAUCCAUAAAGAUUCAUCGACCCAAUUAAGACAUUUUCCUGUUUAACUUAUUCAUAGGUUUUGUUUCCCUAUUACAGACAGAUAUCAACUGGUUUCUAAAUUAUUAGAUUGGUAUGGAGGUGGUGGUGAUGGGGUCGAUUUACUGACAUGUAUCAAGUAAAUGUUAUGUGCCAAGAACUGCACUAGGUACUCUACAUAUAUUAUCUUAUUUACUUAUUCUCACACCUGGGAAAUAUUCACUUUUACACAGGGGAGAAAAUGGGCUCAGAGAAAUUGAAUACUUUUAUAAAGAUCUUUCAGCAACUAAGUAUAAUUCUGAGGACGCUUGCACUUUCUACUGUGAUAAGUUCUUUCUCACAGAUUUCAAAACACAAAAUGAGUGAAUAAAAAAGAAAGAGGAAAUCAAGGGGUCUAAUGAACAUUGGAUUUAACUGAAGAGAUAAGUAAAGAGAAUUCCCCAAGAUUAUGAGAAGACAGUCUAUGGUGACAGCUGUUCUCUACAUUCAGCACUUUGGGAGGCUGAGGCGGGCAGAUCACCUGAGGUAAGGAGUUCGAGACCAGCCUGGCCAACAUGGUGAAACCCGUUUCUAAUAAUACCAAAAAUUUGCCUGGGCAUAGUGCUGGGCGCCUGCAAUCCCAGCUACUGUGGAGACUGAGACAGGAGAAUUGCUUUAACCAGGGAGGCCGAGGUUACAGUGAGCCAAGAUUGCGCCAUUGUACUCCAGCCUGGGUAACAAGAGUGAAACCCUGUCUCAACACACACACACACACACACACACACACACACACAAGAAAGCUGUAUGAGUAGUUACUGCAAAAAGAUGACUAGAUAUAAUACCUAAUUUGUUUUAAUGUAUUGAAAAGGAUUAAGUAAUUGGCAGAGUGCUUGGAUUUAAACUAGUGAUACCGAUAAAGAAAAUUAAGCAAGCUAUAAACGAGAUAAUUACUAACACCAGGAAAAAUGGAAAGUUAUGCAGAAAAGAAAAUGACAUCAUAUAUCACAUGACUCCAGGGUGAAUAUUUUUGCAUGGUUAAAAUGAACAUUGAAUGUGAAUCUAAGCAACGUUAUAAUAUGCCUACAUUAAGAGGAUGAAGGAUUGAAACUGUGUAUGAAUUUGCUGGAACCCAGGUGAAGGGAGAGGAAAGAGUGAGAUUCUCAUCUUCCAUAGCUGGAAGUCAACAGUUAAUGCCUAAAUCUGAAAUUAAGAAAGGCAUGGUUUUGAAAGCAGGAAGCAGGGAUAGUAGAUUGCAGGAGGCAGAGAAACUGAUCUUUUUCAAAACAAUCCUUGUGGAAAUAGUUGACUCUUAAAACUACGUGAUGUAUUAAUUUGACAAGAAAUCAAAUUAAACAAGUCUAUUUUUGAACACUUCAUCAUUUCCAGCCUAGAUGCAAUUUGAUUUGGAAGCCUGGUGACACAGUUUAUAUUUUUUAUUUAUAUACAUACCCAGAAAUGCUAUAAAUCAGUGUAGCAUUGAUAUUUACAUUAGUAUUUCUAGACAGGAAAUUCUGUGAAAGAGGUUAUAAAUUUCUUAAUUCUUAUGUUGCAAAAUGAUGAUUUCACAGAUAAAGUACUAUGUUUGCAUUUGGUAUUGUCUAAUACUGCUGCUCUAUUCUCAAAAAAACUAAAACUAAAACAAAAAAACAAAAAAACUCAUAGCUUUCAGAAUGAGGGGCCAAGUUUCAAGGAUUGUUGCGAAACAAUCUUUGGGUCAUUUUUCUUUAAAAGGAGAUUCUAAGGGUGCAUUUAAACAUGAAAAGUAGAAUUUUGAAGACAUGGAACCACAAUUCUUACUAAGAAAAAGAACACAUACUCUGUUUUAUGUGCUGAUAAUUCCGAAGGCCGCAUUGAGAUUUGGGAAAGUGUCCAAUAAGACUACAACUUUGCAAAAAAUAUUUAAAACCAGCCAUUACAUUUUCACACCUUUUCUUUUCACAUUCCAGUUACACAGCAAUAGUACUUGUAGUAUUUUGCAGAAAUACAAUAGUAAGGCUUUGUUUCAGAAUUUCAAGCCAUUAAAAUUCUCAUCAUUCCAAAGUGUGGCUUUUAUCAAAUUCUGGGACUAGUUUCUGUUUAUUUCCACAGAACAUUGGAGCCCUAUAAGGGUUGUUGUGAGGGCAUCCCAUUGAACUCGAUCCCAGAGGCUCUCCUGCCUCUGGAGUGCUGUUCAUUCCAUUCUUCUCCCCAGAAAUUUCUGCCUUUUCAGUUUUGACUUUCCAGCUUCUUUCUAUUUCUCAAGGUCCAGCUCCCGAUUAUUUUCAUUUGUAAGUCAUCAUUAGACCAUUCCAGUUAGAAGUGUCUUACUUGUUGUAUUGCUUUAUAAGUUAUUUUUAAAUUAUGUUGUAACUUCUUAUACCGUAGCAUUUGAUAUUAAUUAUUUACUGUAGUGUUUACUUUUAAUUAUAUUUAUGUUCAUUUCUUAAAGUGAAAAGUAGCUCUUUGAGGGCAGGGACCAUCUCCAAUAUAUUUCUGUAUCACUUCUGUGUGAUAUAAAAAAUUAUAUCACUUCUGUGUGAUAUGAAUGUGCCUUCCCACACUCAUUAAAUCAACAUUCAAUAAAUUUUUGUUCAAUUGGUCUUAGCAUUUAUUAAUUAAUAUGCCAGCCAGUAUCUGGGGAAUAACUGUUAAUAAAAGAAAUAUUGUAGUUACUCUAAUAGGGGUUGCAGUCUACUAGAGGAAAUAAGCAUUGAUAAAAUCAUGAAACAAGUACAAUUAUAUUUAAUCCAAUGAAAGGUACAGAACACUUUAAGAGCAUGUAGAGUCAGUGAGUCAGGGAUGACCUUUCUGAGGCUUGUGUUAAUCUGUUAACUGGAGGCCAACUAUUUCUGAAUGUGUUGGGGUGGGGACUUUCUAUACUGAAUGGUAAAGGCCAUGCCAUUUGGAAAAUUAUGAAGUAUUCAAGCAAAUGAGACAUAGCCAAUGUAUUGAGAGUGCAGUGGAGCAGAAAGUGGGUAAUGAAGAUAGAGAAGGAUAAGUUCAAGAUGAACCUGGAAAGAUAGGGAGAGGUAAGAUUAUUCAGCAUCUUAUAGACAUAUUAAGUUUUUUGUGUUUUAGGCUAAAUACAAAGGAAAUCUGUUGAAGUUUUUUUAGCAUUGGGGAUAUAUGAUUCGUUUUCCAUUUUGAAAAGGUCACUCCAGUUGUAGUGUGGAUAUUAGAUUGCAGUGACUAGAAAUAAACUCAGGGAGAAAAAGCUAAUAGAUUAUUACAGUCAUGCAAGAUUAUUGCAUGUUAGAGGUAAUUUUAAAUUGAAUUUAUAGAAGAGAAGGGGGGAGUGAAAAAGAAGUGGGGGAAUUAAGAGACAUAUAAAAGUGUGAUUAUAAAUACAAAGGUGUGAUGAGAGGGAUGUGUUAACAAACAUUAUUAGAAAUUCUCAUUUGCACAACUAAAAAUAUGCUGUUAACAUUAUUGAGAUUGAUCAGGACCAGGAUGGAAAAGAGGCAGAGGAUGAGGUAGGCUUUGAGCCAACCAAAUGCAAUGUCAUAGGCAGGUAUAUGGUACAGAACACAGAAGAAAAAUUUGAGUGGGAGCACAAAUUUGUGAGUCUUCUCCAUAUCUGUAGUGAUUAAAACUAGCUGAGGCAAGGUGCUGAUUAUACACCUGUAAUCUCAGCACUUUGGGAGACCAAGGCAUGAGGAUUGCUUGAGACUAGAAGUUUGAGACCACCCUGGGCAACAUAGAGAGACCCUGUCUCCACGAAAUAUAAAAAUGUUAGCUGAGUGUAGUGACACAUUCUUGCAGUCCCAGCUAGUUGGGAGGCUGAGGUGGGAGGACUGCUUGAGUUCAGAAGGUUGAGGUUGCAGUGAGCUGUGUUUGUGCCACUGCACUCCAGCCUGGGCGACAGAGCAAGACUCUGUCUCAAAAAACAAACAAACAAGCACUAGCACUAGCUGAGGAUGUGCAGUUUAAGAAGAGGGCCUAGCACAAAGCUGGGAGAAUCUUCAACAACUGGAAUCAGGAAGAAGAGGAUUAUUUGUUAAAUGAGACUCAGAAGAAGACGGCAGAGAGAAAGGAAGGAAAUUUGGGGUCAUGGAAGUUGAAGGGGAAGAGUAUUUCCAAAAGGAUCAAAGCGUCAAUAGUGUCAGUGCUGUGGCUACAUCAAGUUUGAUGAGGCUUUAAAAUGAAUCAUUAGAUUUAGUGACGUGGGAGAGUCACAGGUAACGAAAAAGUUAAGUUGAUGUCAGCUUAGAGUAUAUAGAAGCUGGUGAGAAACGAUGGCAAUAACUUUAUUUACACUGACACUUUUUGAAAAAGCUGCCUGUGAAGUAAAUGAAAAAUAAUAAGAGUAUAUCUGGAGGGGAA
rnacentral:lncRNA from 10 species